UACGUAGGGGGCAAGCGUUGUCCGGAUUUAUUGGGCGUAAAGAGCACGCAGGCGGUCUUGUAAGUUUCGAGUGACAGGUGGUGGCUUAACUGCCACAGGGCUGGGAAAACUGCAAGACUUGAGAACUUCAGAGGGAUGCGGAAUUCCAGGUGGAGCGGUGAAAUGCGUAGAGAUCUGGAAGAACACCAAAGGCGAAGGCAGCAUCCUGGGAAGAAUCUGACGCUGAGGUGCGAAAGCCAGGGGAGCGAACGGG
rnacentral:rRNA from 1 species